GUAGCUUCUUGGCUUUUGGGCUAAGAUGAAGUGUAGCGUCUGUUAUUAUCAGUUUGAUAACUGAUAAUGUCCUCUAUCUGUUAGGGAAGCAGCGUGGCCUGGUAGAAAGAGCAUUGGCCUGGGAGUCGGAGGACCUGGGUUCUAAUCCCGGAUCUACU
rnacentral:snRNA from 1 species